rnacentral:rRNA from 1 species
UACGAAGGGGGCUAGCGUUGCUCGGAAUCACUGGGCGUAAAGGGUGCGUAGGCGGGUCUUUAAGUCAGGGGUGAAAUCCUGGAGCUCAACUCCAGAACUGCCUUUGAUACUGGGAAGCUUGAGUCCGGGAGAGGUGAGUGGAACUCCGAGUGUAGAGGUGAAAUUCGUAGAUAUUCGGAAGAACACCAGUGGCGAAGGCGGCUCACUGGCCCGGUACUGACGCUGAGGUGCGAAAGCGGGGGGAGCAAACAGG